rnacentral:lncRNA from 1 species
CGAAGGAAUUUCUUUUGAAAUUGGGGGACGACCUCAAAAGGUGGAGGGUAUUUGGUAACUUAGGAGGAAUUUAUGCAAAGGAAGAGAGGAUGGAGGACUGGGAGUGCUAGAUAUUAAAUUGAUGAAUGAAGCUCUUCUCGUUAAGUGGUGGUGGAGAUUCUUUUUAGAAAGAGGCUUGUAAUGGAAUAAGUUGGUUCAAGCGUUGUAUUACACUAAAAAGAGGCCACUUAAUAAAGGAAAGAUAUUGUCACGCCCCGGGACCGGCGGAAGCCCUCCCGGUAGCGUGCCCAGACCCGCCAUAUGUCUACACAUAUAAGACGUCUAGAAGAAAAGCGGAAGUAAAAGCAAGAGAUGGAACAAAUAAAAGAAGUGAAAUAACUAGCAACUAAUGAUAUCAGAGCGAGCAGUACUAACAUCUACAUCAAGGUAGAGAAGUAAAGCUAGACAAUAAAAGAAAUCAUAAGCAGUACAAUAUCUGUCACUAGCACAAAAAUGGUGGUCUCUAGUACACUGGUAAAACUCUCAACCUCUCCAAAAUAAAAUACAACGAGAGGUAGACCACCUAGCAAAUCGUCCUCGAAGGAAGCUAACUCGAAGCAACUCCCUUCCCGCGGU